CUUUAUGUAGAAGUGUUUGGUGAGAUGAACUGACACUCAGUACUUCUCAUGUAUGUGAUCGACCUGCUGAUUUAACAGACGUGAGGAGAAGCGAUGAGUUUAACAGCAGCAGCGAGUGGAUUUGUUGUCGUCCUUCUGUCUGUCCAAGUGAUACGGGGUCAGUAUGACUGAGGAGUGACUUACAGCUCUACUGAGAUCUGUGCCUUAACACAGGGAGCUCACCAACAACAAUAAUGAUAAAUAUCAUCAGGUUGAUUCUGGUGGUUCUGGUGUCGGUUCUGCUGCUUCUGUUUUGUCUGUGGAGGAAGAAGAAAACUCUGAGCUCCACCACUGAACCAAAUGAGCCCACAGAGACUGUGGAGAUGAGAGAGCUGGAGUCUGAUCCUGAUUACACCAACAUCUCACCUUUGAAGAGAGAAACUGCAGCAUGUGGCAGAAGUUCUGAGUAGCAUGCAGCUUUAUGUUUACCUGUGCAGGUACAUUACAUAUGUCAAGGAUUAUACUUGGUUUGCAACAUGCUACUUUAUCUUUUAAUGCUUUUAAUAUAACAUUUUAUUCUAAUGCAGUAACUUGUUUUGAAGAAAUACUGAUUGUUCUAUCACAUCACAGCUGUCCUGGCAGAGAAAGACAUGUGGAACAGGAAGCACAGUAUCUCACAGCAUGUACAUUAUAUAUUAAACACACUGACAUGUAACAUGAGCCCAGCUCUGUCACACUCUGUAGCUGUAACAUGUUCAAAGUUCUGCAGUGGCUGAUUGAAAUAAACAUCCAGCUUCCAACAACUCUGUAGUUUGAACAUCAUGUCAGUUCCCUCUCUGUGCUGCAGAGGGCGACAGUGUGCAGAAAGUUUUGGAUUUAACAAACUCUUUUUGUGUUUAGUCUUCAGAAUAAAGGUUUUAUACAUCAGUAAUGGACACAAAUACAAUGUAAAUCUGUUGACUUGUUUCUCAUUUUCUUAUUAUUAGUCCACUGAUGAAACUGAAUGUAAUAAAAUCUGAAGCUCACCCUGAAACAACAAGGAACUGUCUCAUAAAAUAAA